rnacentral:lncRNA from 1 species
UUUACACAUGAAGUAUCUCACCAUUUAUUAUGUUUGUGUACAUUACCGUGAGUCAAGCAAGUAUGAUUAAAAAUUCUAGGCAACUAAAAACAAGGCAAGUGUAAUACAACCACUUUUUUCCAUGUCUGCAGAAUUUUGAGCCAUUUUAACCAUGAAAGAGAUUUUUUCAGAUUGAAAUCAGUAUCUUGCACAUUGGUUCUAAAACUCCCUUAAAGGCAUAGUGUAUCUUGAAGGUGGGGAAGCCAGCCUAUCUUGGACCUCUUUCCCUUUCACUAAUUCAUUCAGCACCUAUGUGUCAAUCCCCACCAUGUGCCAAGUCCCUGGCUGAGAGCUAGUCUUGAGGAAAACCAGCUCAUAUUUUGUGUCAGUACAUGGCAUGCUGUGCCAAUGUUCCCCUCCAGAGCAAAUCUGAUGCACAUCAAGGCAAAUAAAUUGAAUGCUCUUCUCUGAUCAUUUUGCAAGAACAAGUCCACCAUCCAAUGUGCACAGGGCUCAUAAACUGGACAGAAAUAGAGAGACAUUUUCUAAUUAAAUCAUGAGAA